CUGUGGUGCCCGCAUUUUUCAACAUGGGUAGGUACAGGAAUUUGACUGACCACUAGUAUUUAAGCACAUGAUCUGAACUUACAUAGUGUUUUAAUAUAUCCUUAUACUUUCAUUAAUUGUGAAAUAGCCCCAAUUUUAUUUUACUAUUUAAUACAUGACCCUAGUAAAAUUGAGGUUGCCUCAGUUAAAAACAUUUUCACCAUUUGCUUCUGGAAUCAACUCGCGAGCACGGAGAAGAUGAGCAUGGCUGUGAACCAUUAGCGAGCUGACUCGAUCCUCCACUUCUGUUCUCUUCUUCAUCUUAUUUCCUCCUCAUUCGUUCGCUGAGUUAAGUAGGUGUUACAUGAAGAUCAUGACAUCCCAAUCACAUAGCUCCCCAGGAUCUUGUAGUCAUGUUGAUUAUGAAAGGUUAUGCAAAUGUGGUCUGUUAGCUUCGUUUAGGACAUCCUGGACAGAAUUUAACUAUGGACGUCGUUUCUAUAAUUGUCCUGCAAUGAAGUGUGACUAUUUUGUCUGGGUUGAUCCUCCUCGACGCAUCCAACAACGAACUAGUAGACAACCAAGGAAUCAAGCGAGUACAUGUUUUGUUAAUCCAUUAGCUGAAGAAGAAGAGAAUAGUGGCCAUGAGAAUGAAGAUGCCAAAAUUAAAAAACUGGUGGA